UACGUAGGGUGCAAGCGUUGUCCGGAAUUAUUGGGCGUAAAGAGCUCGUAGGUGGUUUGUCGCGUUGUCCGUGAAAACUCACAACUCAAUUGUGGGCGUGCGGGCGAUACGGGCAGACUGGAGUACUGCAGGGGAGACUGGAAUUCCUGGUGUAGCGGUGGAAUGCGCAGAUAUCAGGAGGAACACCGGUGGCGAAGGCGGUUCUCUGGGCAUGUCCUGACGCUGAGGAGCGAAAGUGUGGGGAGCGAACAGG
rnacentral:rRNA from 1 species